rnacentral:rRNA from 1 species
AGAGUUUGAUCAGUGGCUCAGGAUGAACGCUAGCGGGAGGCCUAACACAUGCAAGCCGAGCGGUAGAGAUUCUUCGGAAUCUUGAGAGCGGCGUACGGGUGCGGAACACGUGUGCAACCUACCUUUAUCUGGAGGAUAGCCUUUCGAAAGGAAGAUUAAUACUCCAUAAUAUAUUGAUUGGCAUCAAUUGAUAUUGAAAGCUCCGGCGGAUAGAGAUGGGCACGCGCAAGAUUAGUUAGUUGGUGAGGUAACGGCUCACCAAGACGAUGAUCUUUAGGGGCCUGAGAGGGUGAUCCCCCACACUGGUACUGAGACACGGACCAGACUCCUACGGGAGGCAGCAGUGAGGAAUAUUGGUCAAUGGGUGCAAGCCUGAACCAGCCACUCCCGCGUGAAGGACGACUGCCCUAUGGGUUGUAAACUUCUUUUGUAUAGGGAUAAACCUACCCUCGUGAGGGUAGCUGAAGGUACUAUACGAAUAAGCACCGGCUAACUCCGUG